ACCAAUUGGCUUUGAGGUGGAUAAAGCUCAUUAGCUUUCCCAUGAGAUCAUGAUCCUUGACCCAAUAGGGUUCAUUCAAAUUACAAUAGGAUAUGUAUAUGAUCCAUCCUCUUCACGGGAAAGAAGUUGAGCCAAAGCCAAUUGGU
rnacentral:sRNA from 1 species